UGGUGAUAAAAAAUGGUUGCAGGUGGCGGCGGAGGAUAUGGUGCCGCUGGGGAAGGAGAUGAUGGUGAUGUGAAUGAUAGCACAAGGAGUUGGGGAGCUUUCAGAUUUGUUCACUUUGCACUUCUGUGGAGGUGAAAGCAGAAGUUGUUGUUUGCCAUCUCCAUGUUGCUAUGCUAUCAAUUGCAACAUUCCAAAGAGGCCCUUUGGAUCUGUUCUUUCACUCCCAAACUUUUGCUGGCAUUGAAGCUGAACAACAACAAAAUCUCUGCUGAGAUUCCUCCAUGCAAUGGAUAGUUUGAGGAUAUAGCAACAACAGAAACUCUGGGGAGGGAUCAUACCUUGCAAGUCGUUGGAAGUUGUCGAUUUGAGCUCUCUCAACGAUGCUGUAUCCACAUGGUCCUAGCUUGGAUUUUUGUCCAUCUCACAUAGCAUGUUGCAUGGAUCCCUACCGAGCUGGGAUCAUCCCACAAGGCAGGGCUACUGAGGGCAUUUGCAGGCAACCCGAGUCUCUGCCACAAGGAGUCAUCAUGCAAUGGGAAGGGACAGCCUGCGAUGCUACUUAGAUAUGGGAGUGAACAGGGACCGACUUCAGUGAGGAUUUUCCCGAGAACUAGUGGUUUUUAUGGUGGAAAACAAAGGAUUUGGAUCCCUUGCUGUGAAGAGAAGCAAAGAUGUCUCUCACAAUUUCUAUCCGAUUUGUGCAUCUGUUGAAUAUGUGCAGUGAUUCAUUUUUGAGCUCUGGUUCUCUGAAACUAAAAUGUGUAUAGGCUUUGAUUUUCAAUUGUGAAUGGAGUAAUGUUGUCCAUAAUGUUCAGGUCACAUUUUGUACACACACUCCCUUCCCAAUUCUGCAUCAAGAAACUCCCUUUGUGUUCGAGCUCUCACUUUUGAUUGUAAUUUGUAGUUAGUUUACUU